GACGAGGCACUACGGUGCUGAAGCAACAAAUGCCCUGCUUCCAGGAAAAGCCUCUAAGCAUCAGGUAACAUCAAAUCGUACCCCAAACCGACACAGGUGGUCAGGUAGAGAAUACCAAGGCGCUUGAGAGAACUCGGGUGAAGGAACUAGGCAAAAUGGUGCCGUAACUUCGGGAGAAGGCACGCUGACACGUAGGUGAAGUGAUUUACUCAUGGAGCUGAAGUCAGUCGAAGAUACCAGCUGGCUGCAACUGUUUAUUAAAAACACAGCACUGUGCAAACACGAAAGUGGACGUAUACGGUGUGACGCCUGCCCGGUGCCGGAAGGUUAAUUGAUGGGGUCAGCGCAAGCGAAGCUCCUGAUCGAAGCCCCGGUAAACGGCGGCCGUAACUAUAACGGUCCUAAGGUAGCGAAAUUCCUUGUCGGGUAAGUUCCGACCUGCACGAAUGGCGUAAUGAUGGCCAGGCUGUCUCCACCCGAGACUCAGUGAAAUUGAACUCGCUGUGAAGAUGCAGUGUACCCGCGGCAAGACGGAAAGACCCCGUGAACCUUUACUAUAGCUUGACACUGAACAUUGAGCCUUGAUGUGUAGGAUAGGUGGGAGGCUUUGAAGCGUGGACGCCAGUCUGCGUGGAGCCGACCUUGAAAUACCACCCUUUAAUGUUUGAUGUUCUAACGUGGACCCGUAAUCCGGGUUGCGGACAGUGUCUGGUGGGUAGUUUGACUGGGGCGGUCUCCUCCUAAAGAGUAACGGAGGAGCACGAAGGUUGGCUAAUCCUGGUCGGACAUCAGGAGGUUAGUGCAAUGGCAUAAGCCAGCUUGACUGCGAGCGUGACGGCGCGAGCAGGUGCGAAAGCAGGUCAUAGUGAUCCGGUGGUUCUGAAUGGAAGGGCCAUCGCUCAACGGAUAAAAGGUACUCCGGGGAUAACAGGCUGAUACCGCCCAAGAGUUCAUAUCGACGGCGGUGUUUGGCACCUCGAUGUCGGCUCAUCACAUCCUGGGGCUGAAGUAGGUCCCAAGGGUAUGGCUGUUCGCCAUUUAAAGUGGUACGCGAGCUGGGUUUAGAACGUCGUGAGACAGUUCGGUCCCUAUCUGCCGUGGGCGCUGGAGAACUGAGGGGGGCUGCUCCUAGUACGAGAGGACCGGAGUGGACGCAUCACUGGUGUUCGGGUUGUCAUGCCAAUGGCACUGCCCGGUAGCUAAAUGCGGAAGAGAUAAGUGCUGAAAGCAUCUAAGCACGAAACUUGCCCCGAGAUGAGUUCUCCCUGAGACUUUAGGUCUCCUGAAGGAACGUUGAAGACGACGACGUUGAUAGGCCGGGUGUGUAAGCGCAGCGAUGCGUUGAGCUAACCGGUACUAAUGAACCGUGAGGCUUAACCUUACAACGCCGAAG
rnacentral:rRNA from 1 species